GGUGUGAUGGCGUGGAUCGAUCAGAGCAAAGGGGGGAGAAGACAAACCCUAACUUCAUGAAAUUCUCAAGAAUUGAAAGAGAUUAGGAGCCCAAACUAAUGCAUGAACUCGAAACCUCAAUCAUCUAAGCUUGUACAACAAGCGGAACGUGUCAAGGAGAGGUCAAGCAUAGGAGGAUAACGGGUCAAGAUAAGGCAAGAUGACAAAUACACUUAUUGGAGUACUCGAGGUAAGUGAAUUUCGAUUCACUUUUUAGUAGGUUUAAUAGAUUUUAAUACUUAUGUUUACGAAACAUCAUGAAAGAACAUGUAAUAAUCAGAAGUACAAAGCCAAUAAUGCCUCAUUAUUGAAGAAGGUUGUAUUUAAGCCGAAAGUAAAUUGGUGGGUUUAAACGGGUCGAAUUUUAUGUGCAUAUGUUGCGUAAUGAAAUGAAAUUCGUUAUGGUUAAGACCUUGGGUAAGAAUUUUAGUCAUUAUGUAAGGGGAACAUUUCCCGGACCAUUAGGUACAAGUUUUAUAUGAUUCGGUUGUCGGUCAAUGAAUGAACGGAUUGUUUCGUUUUAGUGUAGGAAAUUUUAUAAGUAUAUGUGUAUAGGAAUCCAAAGGCCACGUGGGUUGAAUCGUAGAUUGUCUAUACUAUGUAAAGUAUUGAAUGUGACAUUCCGGCAUAAACCUACAUGUAAAAGAAGCUUGUGUAUAUAUUCGUGAUUAAUUGAUUGUGCGAAGGAAGGAACAUUGGCAUGAAUGAAGGUACGCACAUAUAUAUAUAAGUAUAUAUAUAUAUAUGUAUGUAUGUAUGUAUGAUAAUAAGUACGUAGGUGUGAAUGUAUGUGUGAAUGAAUGUUCAAUGCUUAAGACAUAUGCAUGAACGUAUCAAAGGGUUCGAGUAUUUAUGGAUACUAAUGAUGUGCGUUGAGUUGGAAUGUAAUGUAGGUAUGGGGUCGUUGGCUUCAUGAAGAAAUGGAGCUGGAUUUGGAUAAGAGUAUUUAAGAAAGCGCUUGGACAAUUCCACGACUACUUUAUAGAAUGUUCUACGAAAUUUUAUUAUAUAGUUUAAUGUUGAAUGGUAUGUUGAUAACUAAUGGUUUGGUUGUACGUGGUGUCCACAGGUAUCGCUUGGGUUUUCUCUACUUUUAUUGAAGUGAAGCGGACUUAGUUCGAGUUGAGAGCAAGGAUUGUACGGGGUAGAAUGGUCACAUAGUGUAACUCAUAUAGGUUUUGAAGUAUUAAUGUUAUAAAACGUUAUAAAUCCGUUUUAAUGAAUAUAUGGCAUUUCGCAUUUGAACUUUCAUGUGUUUGAUAUGUCUAUUAAAGAACGAAAUUUUUGGGCUCUUGUUUUCCGCUGCGUCGUAUUUUAAGUUAUUACGCGUUAGUCUUACAGGGAAUUGUUCUUAUUACGAACGGGUCAUGCCCGAAUUUUGUUAAAUAAUAGUAUGAUAAUAUUACAUUUUGGAAUGUGUAAUUUGGGCGUAACAAGUUGGUAUCAGAGCCCUGGUUUGAGAGAAUUAAGUACGAGAGUAUAAGUACUUGAACUCAAACCUGUGUGCUCUUGUGAUAAGGAACCCGUACAAUCCAUGACUCGAUCAAGAUCUAAAGGUAGAAAUGGAACGAAAAUGUGUAAGUAUGUAUUAGAUUAUGUAUUUGAAAGAAACUAAUAGUGUGUUAUGUGCAAGGUAAGCUUAAGAUCUUGAAGAGGAUGAUCCGUGAAUACAGAAUGGGAUGAACGCUAAGGCGGGCAAAGGUGCAAAUAGGCAAAUUAACCCCAGGAACGUGUCAAGGAGAGGUCAAGCAUAGGAGGAUAACGGGUCAAGAUAAGGCAAGAUGACAAAUACACUUAUUGGAGUACUCGAGGUAAGUGAAUUUCGAUUCACUUUUUAGUAGGUUUAAUAGAUUUUAAUACUUAUGUUUACGAAACAUCAUGAAAGAACAUGUAAUAAUCAGAAGUACAAAGCCAAUAAUGCCUCAUUAUUGAAGAAGGUUGUAUUUAAGCCGAAAGUAAAUUGGUGGGUUUAAACGGGUCGAAUUUUAUGUGCAUAUGUUGCGUAAUGAAAUGAAAUUCGUUAUGGUUAAGACCUUGGGUAAGAAUUUUAGUCAUUAUGUAAGGGGAACAUUUCCCGGACCAUUAGGUACAAGUUUUAUAUGAUUCGGUUGUCGGUCAAUGAAUGAACGGAUUGUUUCGUUUUAGUGUAGGAAAUUUUAUAAGUAUAUGUGUAUAGGAAUCCAAAGGCCACGUGGGUUGAAUCGUAGAUUGUCUAUACUAUGUAAAGUAUUGAAUGUGACAUUCCGGCAUAAACCUACAUGUAAAAGAAGCUUGUGUAUAUAUUCGUGAUUAAUUGAUUGUGCGAAGGAAGGAACAUUGGCAUGAAUGAAGGUACGCACAUAUAUAUAUAAGUAUAUAUAUAUAUAUAUGUAUGUAUGUAUGUAUGAUAAUAAGUACGUAGGUGUGAAUGUAUGUGUGAAUGAAUGUUCAAUGCUUAAGACAUAUGCAUGAACGUAUCAAAGGGUUCGAGUAUUUAUGGAUACUAAUGAUGUGCGUUGAGUUGGAAUGUAAUGUAGGUAUGGGGUCGUUGGCUUCAUGAAGAAAUGGAGCUGGAUUUGGAUAAGAGUAUUUAAGAAAGCGCUUGGACAAUUCCACGACUACUUUAUAGAAUGCUCUACGAAAUUUUAUUAUAUAGUUUAAUGUUGAAUGGUAUGUUGAUAACUAAUGGUUUGGUUGUACGUGGUGUCCACAGGUAUCGCUUGGGUUUUCUCUACUUUUAUUGAAGUGAAGCGGACUUAGUUCGAGUUGAGAGCAAGGAUUGUACGGGGUAGAAUGGUCACAUAGUGUAACUCAUAUAGGUUUUGAAGUAUUAAUGUUAUAAAACGUUAUAAAUCCGUUUUAAUGAAUAUAUGGCAUUUCGCAUUUGAACUUUCAUGUGUUUGAUAUGUCUAUUAAAGAACGAAAUUUUUGG
rnacentral:lncRNA from 1 species